GUCGAGCGAACAGACGAGGAGCUUGCUCCUCUGACGUUAGCGGCGGACGGGUGAGUAACACGUGGAUAACCUACCUAUAAGACUGGGAUAACUUCGGGAAACCGGAGCUAAUACCGGAUAAUAUAUUGAACCGCAUGGUUCAAUAGUGAAAGACGGUUUUGCUGUCACUUAUAGAUGGAUCCGCGCCGCAUUAGCUAGUUGGUAAGGUAACGGCUUACCAAGGCAACGAUGCGUAGCCGACCUGAGAGGGUGAUCGGCCACACUGGAACUGAGACACGGUCCAGACUCCUACGGGAGGCAGCAGUAGGGAAUCUUCCGCAAUGGGCGAAAGCCUGACGGAGCAACGCCGCGUGAGUGAUGAAGGUCUUCGGAUCGUAAAACUCUGUUAUUAGGGAAGAACAAAUGUGUAAGUAACUAUGCACGUCUUGACGGUACCUAAUCAGAAAGCCACGGCUAACUACGUGCCAGCAGCCGCGGUAAUACGUAGGUGGCAAGCGUUAUCCGGAAUUAUUGGGCGUAAAGCGCGCGUAGGCGGUUUUUUAAGUCUGAUGUGAAAGCCCACGGCUCAACCGUGGAGGGUCAUUGGAAACUGGAAAACUUGAGUGCAGAAGAGGAAAGUGGAAUUCCAUGUGUAGCGGUGAAAUGCGCAGAGAUAUGGAGGAACACCAGUGGCGAAGGCGACUUUCUGGUCUGUAACUGACGCUGAUGUGCGAAAGCGUGGGGA
rnacentral:rRNA from 1 species